UCGCAAAAGUCCUCCAACCCUUCACAUUUCGGGCAUUUCCUACCCAACCGGGAAAAAUCUGACGCUCAGCACAGUUGCGUUCCGUACCUCCCAGACCAAUCACAGCCGUCGAUUUCCCAUCGAGAUCAUUCCUUCGUCCAUGGAACCGCCGGGCCGCUGCAAGCGCAACGACGGCCAGAAGUGGCGGUGCAGCGAGACGGCGGCGGAGGGGAAGUCCUAUUGUCAAAAGCACUACGAUCAGAAGAGAAACAAUGCUAUGAAUAAGAAAACCAAGACGGGAAAGUCAGAUGGAAACAGCGGUUCCGAUAAUCUAACGAAGAAUCGUCGAUCCAAAGAGGACAAAUCUGGCAAAAAAUCGGAGCAGCGUGCUUGCUCGAAGUUGCAGGAAAAACCUAGUACACAAUCUGAGGAGCGUGCGAGCUCGAAGCUGCAGGAUAAGUCAUGCAAGAAAUCGGAGCAGCGUGCGAGCUUGAAGCUGCAGGAAAAACCUAGCAAACUAUCGGAGGAGCGUUCAAGCUCGAAGAUGCAGGAUCAGUCUAGCAAGAAAUCGGAGCAGCGCGUAUGCUUGAAGUUGCAGGAAAAAUCCAGCAGAAAAUCGGAUCGGCGCGUGGGCUUGAAGUUGCAAAAAAAUCCUGGCAAACAAUCUGAGGAGCACGUGGGCUUGAAGGUGCCGGAAAAGUCUAGCAAAAAAUCUGAGGAGCGGGAGAGCUUGAAGUUGCAGGAAAAGCCUGGCAAAAAUUCGGAGCAGCGCGUGUCCUUGAUGUGCCACCAGUGUCAGCGGAACGACAAGAGUGGCGUUGUCUUCUGUUCUAAUUGUACAAAGCGAUUUUGCUUUGAGUGCAUUGAAAGAUGGUACCCGGGGAAGACGAGAGAGGAAAUUGGGAAGAAAUGCCCGUUUUGUUGUCACAACUGCAACUGCAAAGCUUGCUUGCGUGCGUUUAUUGUGAAACCUCACACUAGAAAAGUUGAACCCAGUGUCAAAUUACAGCGGCUCAAGUACUUGCUCUAUAAAACUUUGCCUGUUCUGAGGUAUAUUCAUAAGGAGCAGAGCUCUGAACUAGAGAUUGAGUCCAAAAUACGAGGUGUUCAACUGACUGAAGGGGGGAUACAAAGAACUAAAAUAGACCCAAAAGAACGUAUUUACUGCGACAAUUGCUCUACAUCUAUUGUUGAUUUCCACAGAAGCUGCACCAACCCCGAUUGUUCCUAUGAUCUCUGUCUCACUUGUUGCAAAGAGCUAAGGGAAGGUUGUCAACCUGGAGGUUGUGAAGCAGAAACAUCUCACCAACAAUCUGUAGAAAGAGCUCAUAAACAAGUGAAAAAUAGAGGCAAUACUAACAUGAAAAGGAAAAGACAUGUGUGGGAGGGCCAGAUUACCUCUGCUUCUGAUAAUUCUAAAGCUGAUGUGCCUUUUUCUCUUCCUAAUUGGAAAGCGAAUCCUGAUGACAGCAUUCCUUGUCCUCCAAAAGAGUGUGGAGGUUGUGGCCAGGUAAAUCUGGAACUGAGGCGCAAAUGUAAAGCUAAUUGGGUAAUGCAACUGUUAAAAAAUGCAGAGGAUUUUACUAUUGACUUCAAGAUGCAAGACACCGAUGUUUCUCAAGGAUGCUCCUUGUGCCAGCCAAAUGAUUCCAAGGAACAUAAUAAUAUACAGUCUGAAGUGAGGCAGGCGGCUUUCAGGGAAAACAGUGAUGAUAACUUCUUAUACUGUCCGAAUGCUAUUGACAUUGCAGAUGAUGAAAUUGAACAUUUUCAGAGGCACUGGAUAAAUGGGGAACCUGUAAUAGUCAGAAAUGUUCUUGACAAGACAUCUGGUCUUAGUUGGGAACCUAUGGUCAUGUGGAGGGCUUUUAGAGAAACGGGGGCCAAUGUAAAGUUUAAAGAGGAGACACGAAGUGUGAAGGCCCUUGACUGCUUUGAUUGGUGUGAGGUGGAAAUCAAUAUUCACCAGUUUUUCAUGGGCUACUUGGAGGGUCGUCUACAUAGAAGUGGGUGGCCUGAGAUGUUGAAAUUGAAGGAUUGGCCUUCAUCAACUUUAUUUGAAGAGCGUUUGCCAAGGCAUUGCACUGAAUUUAUUGCAGCACUCCCUUUCAGUGACUAUACUGAUCCAAAAUAUCCAGAAGUGGGUUGUCUAAAUCUUGCUACAAAACUUCCUGAAGAUUCAUUGAAACCUGAUAUGGGACCCAAAACAUACAUUGCCUAUGGAUUCUCUGAAGAACUUGGCAGAGGUGAUUCAGUGACAAAGCUACACUGUGAUAUGUCUGAUGCGGUAAAUGUUCUGACUCACACAACAAGAGUGAAGAUCGCUCCUUGGCAGCACAAAAAGAUAAAGGCUUUGCAGAGGAAGCAUGAAGCUGAAGACUUGCGUGAACUGUACAAUGAAAGAGAUGAGGAUAAGGGGACAGUUGGAGGAAAAUCAUCAAACAAAUCUUCCGAAAUCCAGAUCAUGGGUGCUGAAUGUACUGAAAAUGAGAACAUUGUGGAUAAUGAUCAUCUAAUGCAGAAAGAUGGGAAGAAAAGAAAAAUGGUUGACGAACAAUCAUUUAGGAUUUCUCAGUUGUCAGAUUCCAAGUAUUUAGAUGAUACUGUUGAAUAUGAUAAAACUGAGCAUGUUCCAGAACCUCCUGAUACUUCUGAAAUACAUAAAUUAAAGUUUCCAACUCUUGACCAUCAGAGGAAUGAAUUGAUAAAAACCACCUUGCCUCAUGCAAAUGGAGUUGAAGCAGAGCAAGAACAUGCUCAAUGUUCCACGGACAUGAUGAUUGAGAGAUCUGGUGGGAAAGAUACUUCUGUGGCUUUGUUUCCAGGAAAUGAUGCGGUUCAUGAUAUGAACGUGAAAGAGUCAAACCUGACAAAAACAAAGGAUUCUCUUGAAAGUAAUGACAGUUUGGAUGUUGCCCAAGGUGGUGCUGUUUGGGACAUCUUUCGCCGCCAGGAUGUCCCCAAGUUAAGGGAAUACUUGGAAAAACAAAAGAAAGAAUUUCGCCACAUUAAUAAUCAUCCUGUAGAUUCAGUGGUUCAUCCUAUUCAUGAUCAGACCCUUUACUUGAAUGAGAGACAUAAGAAACAACUAAAGGAGGAAUUCAAUGUGGAGCCUUGGACAUUUAAACAAUACCUUGGUGAGGCAGUUUUUAUUCCCACAGGAUGUCCUCAUCAAGUUAGAAAUACACAAUCUUGUAUAAAGGUAGCACUUGACUUUGUAUCUCCUGAAAGUCUUGAAGAAUGUCUUCGACUGACUGAAGAGUUUCGUUUGCUCCCAAAAAACCAUAGAGCCAAGGAAGACAAAUUGGAGGUGAAAAAGAUGACACUCUAUGCUGUAAGUUCAGCUGUAAGAGAAACCAAAAAACUGAUGUCAGGGCUCAAGUAAGAUUAUUUUUCUUUUCUUUUGUUUUCUCUUUAUAUGUGUUGCUGAGAUUUCAGUCGUGGUUAGCAUCUUACCUCCCUUUAUUAAGGUGUGACAUGUUGGUUUCACAUUGUGUGUUGUGCGAGUGGGCGCACACAAAUAUUCUUGCUUUUCUAACAUGUUUGCUAGGCUCAUGAAGGAAAACACACAUAAAUAGUUAUCCUACGCUCACUGUGGAGAUGAGGAAAAAAUUAUUAAUGAACUUUUUUGGAAAACAUGAAUAUUUGACCUAGCUUCUUAACUUUCAGUUCCCUUUUUCCCCAAUAGGAAAAUUUAGACCAGAGACCUACCUAUGUCUUAUCCUUUACGCUCCUCUACAAACACCUCAGAUAAGACCCUUGGCUUGAUUACUUCUCGAGUCUAAUAGUUGUUCUAAGUUUUGAAUUAGAUCUUGGCUGGUCCUUGGUGAGUAGUUUGCUGCAUUAUUCAUGGUAUAUAUAUAUUAUUUGGUGUAUGCCAAAGGAAUAUUAUAUCAUGAUUUGCUUAAUUAAGGUUGGAACGUGAAACAUCUCCCCUAAUCUUUCUGGUGAGAGAUUGUGUUCAUGCUCUCCACCAAAUGGUUGGUAUGAAGUGGUCACUCUUAAGAAUUAAAGACACAUGCUUGUGUUUGAGUGCAUGAGAUAUAACAUUCUGCUGGAUAAUGGCCCAUCUACAACAAAUGAAAGAACAAAAUUAAGGGAUCAUAACACCAUCCUACUGAGUAAGGGCGUAAAUUGGUGAAGAAAUUCUCUUGCAUUAAGAAUUUUUUGCAUCUCCUAGAGGAGAAUAUGUGAUCAUUUUAUUAUCUUUCUCAAAGACUUUUCUGUAAGGAAUUGUUAAUAUUUCGAGUAAAAUAGAAAUUAAAACAGCACAUGAAUUUAGUCCUAUUAAGAUGGAAGAAGCUGGUGAGUACAAGCAUAUCAUAGGUAAUGUAGAAAACUUUUUAUUAGAUGGGCACGUACAAGUUAGUAGUUGUAGGUGACACUACUAGUGUUUCUUUCAAAUUUUAAGUGGGAGGUCUUAGGUUCGACUUUCGUAAACGAAAUUUCGAUGCCGAAUUAUUAUGGCUGCCUAUUGUGUGGCUUAUAGCUCAGAUCCCCACUUCGUAAUGUAAAUAUAUCGUUUCUUGUAUUUCACAUAUUUGCCAAAUUUAAGGUGUCUGUGGGAUUGCUUCGAGAAGGGCUGAAAGUUCUUUCUAACAACCAAAAAUGCUUUUGAACCACAUUUCGAGAAAAUAUUAAAAGCAGUUUUGGGUUAUGUGCUCUUGGGUUUUUACUAAAUUUUUGAUAUCUUCAUACUAAAACACUUCUAACGAAACUGCUUAUGGGCAAAAGUGCUUCAUGUAGUAGUCCUACACGAGCCCCAAGUGCUCCUUCGGUGCAACCUUUUGUGUGUUCCAAAAGCACUUUUGCGCGGUUGGAGUUGUAUCAUGUUUCUAAUUUGUCUGAUUUUUUGCAAGAUGAUCUUUGAGGGAAUACCUAAAAAAUAGACGGUUUUGAUCAUCCAUAGUGGUUCCCUCAAGGAGUCCUUCAAAGGAUCCCUCAAUAAAAGGAAACUUUUGUUCCAAUUCCAUAUUUGUUUUCUCCAUCCAAACUCAUCGUAUCAACUCGAGUUUCUUCAUCUAGAGCUUUGAUUGCAAGAGGUUUUGGGUUCGAAAUCUCUAAACGAUGUUCCUCACUUGUUUGCCAAUUUGCAAGGUGCUCUUCUUCAACUAUAUGCUUUUCUAUGUUUGCGCUUGUUUGCAUGUGCAUGUGUUGUAGGGUGGAGCUGCACACAAAGAACCACGUGAAGGUGGGUGUUGGCUUGACAUACAUUGUUGACUCAUUCCUAAUUGUCUAAGCUUUUGGCUUUUAGCGGUUUUACAACAAACUAUUUAAGAACAGGCCUAGCAGCCAAACGAUUGUUUGGUUGUGCCAUGUGUCUAUUGAAGUGCACGUUCGAAGGGUUGCAGUUGUGGUGUGGAGGCUUCAUUGACAAUGUUGGAGUUGCUUCGCGAACAACCUUUGUUUUGAAGCCCACAACAAUAUAUUGACAAUUACACCGAAGGCAAGAAAGAUUGGCCUCGUUGUCUAAGGUUGGAUUGGAUUGGAUAACUCACUAGAUUCACUGGAUGUUGAAGGAAGUAAUGGAUGUGGUAGCACUCAGAGGAAUAAGUUUCCUUCAUAACUAAUCCAUCUUCUACCUUCAAAUUGGACGAAGUUUGGGAGUUGCAUCCAUUCAUUUUUAACAUAAAUUGGAAUCUAGCGGGUUAUUCAAUACAAUCCUCAAAACCAAACUACGUUAUUAUUUAAGAAGCCAAAAUGGAAAGUAUCCACACUAGACAACGAAUGGGAGCAUAUGGUGGCAAUCAAACACAAACACAUCAUGAAAUUUACACAUUGAGCUGCAUAUGCGCCGAAACUUUGCCAUUUACAUCGGCCCCUUCGAAAAAUGAAGAGUAGGAGCAACCGGUUGUGCUAGCACCACAAAAGCUUCUUAGUCUGCAGACUACAGCAAAUUCAAAGGCCUUUUGACCUCUGUUUUUGUAUGAUCUCAUGAAAACUAACACCGAAGUUAAUGUAUGCUGUCUUAUGAGACGUUUGCUGAUUCAUACAUGAAAAGAACUUUUUGGAUUUGUAAGUGUUCCAUUUCCUAAGGAAAAUUUUAACGAAAAGCUUCCGAUACUGUUCAGUGUUCCAUUUCCUAAAGGGAACUUUAACGAAAAACUUUCGGUA